rnacentral:pre_miRNA from 1 species
UUGAAGAAUAUGAAGACUUCAACUUGCAGACUUGAAGAAUUUGUAGACUUUAACUUGCAUACUUAGAAAUUUUAGAGACUUCAAGU